CAGUCGCCGCGGUAAGACAGAGGAUGCAAGCGUUAUCCGGAAUGAUUGGGCGUAAAGCGUCUGUAGGUGGCUUUUCAAGUCCGCCAUCAAAUCCCAAGGCUCAACCCUGGACAGGCGUCGGAAAAUACCAAGCUGGAGUACGGUAGGGGCAGAGGGAAUUUCCGGUGGAGCGGUGGAAUGCGUUGAGAUUGGAAAGAACACCAACGGUGAAAGCACUCUGCUGGGCCGACACUGACACUGAGAGACGAAAGCUAGGGGAGCAAAUGGGAUUAGAUACCCGUGUAGUCCCUGUCUCUUAUAC
rnacentral:rRNA from 1 species